UACGGAGGGGGCUAGCGUUGUUCGGAAUUACUGGGCGUAAAGCGCACGUAGGCGGACUGUUAAGUCGGGGGUGAAAUCCCGGGGCUCAACCCCGGAAUGGCCUUCGAUACUGGCGGUCUUGAGGUCUGGAGAGGUGAGUUGAAUUCCGAGUGUAGAGGUGAAAUUCGUAGAUAUUCGGAGGAACCCCAGUGGCGCAGGCGGCUCACUGGUCAGAUACUGACGCUGAGGUGCGGAAGCGUGGGGAGCAAACAGG
rnacentral:rRNA from 1 species